AUGAACGCUAGCGACAGGCUUAACACAUGCAAGUCGAGGGGCAGCGGGGGUAGCAAUACCCGCCGGCGACCGGCGCACGGGUGAGUAACGCGUAUGCAACUUACCUAUCAGAGGGGGAUAACCCGGCGAAAGUCGGACUAAUACCGCAUGAAGCAGGGAUCCCGCAUGGGAAUAUUUGCUAAAGAUUCAUCGCUGAUAGAUAGGCAUGCGUUCCAUUAGGCAGUUGGCGGGGUAACGGCCCACCAAACCGACGAUGGAUAGGGGUUCUGAGAGGAAGGUCCCCCACAUUGGUACUGAGACACGGACCAAACUCCUACGGGAGGCAGCAGUGAGGAAUAUUGGUCAAUGGCCGAGAGGCUGAACCAGCCAAGUCGCGUGAGGGAUGAAGGUUCUAUGGAUCGUAAACCUCUUUUAUAAGGGAAUAAAGUGCGGGACGUGUCCCGUUUUGUAUGUACCUUAUGAAUAAGGAUCGGCUAACUCCGUGCCAGCAGCCGCGGUAAUACGGAGGAUCCGAGCGUUAUCCGGAUUUAUUGGGUUUAAAGGGUGCGUAGGCGGCCUUUUAAGUCAGCGGUGAAAGUCUGUGGCUCAACCAUAGAAUUGCCGUUGAAACUGGGGGGCUUGAGUAUGUUUGAGGCAGGCGGAAUGCGUGGUGUAGCGGUGAAAUGCAUAGAUAUCACGCAGAACCCCGAUUGCGAAGGCAGCCUGCCAAGCCAUGACUGACGCUGAUGCACGAAAGCGUGGGGAUCAAACAGGAUUAGAUACCCUGGUAGUCCACGCAGUAAACGAUGAUCACUAGCUGUUUGCGAUACACUGUAAGCGGCACAGCGAAAGCGUUAAGUGAUCCACCUGGGGAGUACGCCGGCAACGGUGAAACUCAAAGGAAUUGACGGGGGCCCGCACAAGCGGAGGAACAUGUGGUUUAAUUCGAUGAUACGCGAGGAACCUUACCCGGGCUCAAACGCACGACGGCGGCACGUGAAAGCGUGCUUACCUACGGGACGUUGUGCGAGGUGCUGCAUGGUUGUCGUCAGCUCGUGCCGUGAGGUGUCGGCUUAAGUGCCAUAACGAGCGCAACCCUUGCCACUAGUUACUAACAGGUAAAGCUGAGGACUCUGGUGGGACUGCCAGCGUAAGCUGCGAGGAAGGCGGGGAUGACGUCAAAUCAGCACGGCCCUUACAUCCGGGGCGACACACGUGUUACAAUGGCGUGGACAAAGGGAAGCCACCUGGCGACAGGGAGCGAAUCCCCAAACCACGUCUCAGUUCGGAUCGGAGUCUGCAACCCGACUCCGUGAAGCUGGAUUCGCUAGUAAUCGCGCAUCAGCCAUGGCGCGGUGAAUACGUUCCCGGGCCUUGUACACACCGCCCGUCAAGCCAUGGGAGCCGGGGGUACCUGAAGUCCGUAACCGCGAGGAUCGGCCUAGGGUAAAACUGGUGACUGGGGCU
rnacentral:rRNA from 1 species